AGCAGCCGCGGUAAUUCCAGCUCCAAUAGCGUAUAUUAAAGUUGUUGCAGUUAAAAAGCUCGUAGUUGAAUUUCGAGACCGGUCUACUGGUCGUGCUUUUGUACGUACUGGUUUUAUUGGUUUCUCCUUUCUGACGAACUAUAAUGCCAUUAAUUUGGUGUUAUGGGGAAUCAGGACUGUUACUUUGAAAAAAUUAGAGUGUUUAAAGCAGGCUCACGCUUGAAUACAUUAGCAUGGAAUAACGGAAUAGGACGUUUGAUUCUAUUUUGUUGGUUUCUAGGAUCGACGUAAUGAUUAAUAGGGAUAGUUGGGGGCAUUAGUAUUCAAUUGUCAGAGGUGAAAUUCUUGGAUUUAUUGAAGACUAACUACUGCGAAAGCAUUUGCCAAGGAUGUUUUCAUUAAUCAAGAACGAAAGUUAGGGGAUCGAAGACGAUCAGAUACCGUCGUAGU
rnacentral:rRNA from 1 species